rnacentral:rRNA from 1 species
ACGCCCUUCGGGGCUUUUUGGUGAUUCAUGAUAACUUUACGGAUCGCAUGGCCUUGCGCCGGCGACGGUUCAUUCAAAUUUCUGCCCUAUCAACUUUCGAUGGUAAGGUAUUGGCUUACCAUGGUUUCAACGGGUAACGGGGAAUUAGGGUUCGAUUCCGGAGAGGGAGCCUGAGAAACGGCUACCACAUCCAAGGAAGGCAGCAGGCGCGCAAAUUACCCAAUCCCGACACGGGGAGGUAGUGACAAUAAAUACUGAUACAGGGCUCUUUUGGGUCUUGUAAUUGGAAUGAGUACAAUUUAAACCUCUUAACGAGGAACAAUUGGAGGGCAAGUCUGGUGCCAGCAGCCGCGGUAAUUCCAGCUCCAAUAGCGUAUAUUAAAGUUGUUGCAGUUAAAAAGCUCGUAGUUGAACCUUGGGCCUGGCUGGCAGGUCCGCCUCACCGCGUGUACUUGUCCGGCUGGGCCUUCCUUCUGGAGAACCUCAUGCCCUUCACUGGGCGUGUUGGGGACCAGGACUUUUACUUUGAAAAAAUUAGAGUGUUCAAAGCAGGCCUUUGCUCGAAUACGUUAGCAUGGAAUAAUAGAAUAGGACGUGCGGUCCUAUUUUGUUGGUUUCUAGGACCGCCGUAAUGAUUAAUAGGGACAGUCGGGGGCAUCAGUAUUCAAUUGUCAGAGGUGAAAUUCUUGGAUUUAUUGAAGACUAACUACUGCGAAAGCAUUUGCCAAGGAUGUUUUCAUUAAUCAGUGAACGAAAGUUAGGGGAUCGAAGACGAUCAGAUACCGUCGUAGUCUUAACCGUAAACUAUGCCGACUAGGGAUCGGGCGAUGUUCUUUUUCUGACUCGCUCGGCACCUUACGAGAAAUCAA